CCUACGGGUGGCAGCAGUGGGGAAUAUUGCGCAAUGGGCGAAAGCCUGCCGCAGCCCAGUAGCGUGAAGGAUGACUGCCCUACGGGUUGUAAACUUCUUUUAUAAAGGAAUAAAGUGAGGCACGUGUGCCUUUUUGUAUGUACUUUAUGAAUAAGGAUCGGCUAACUCCGUGCCAGCAGCCGCGGUAAUACGGAGGAUCCGAGCGUUAUCCGGAUUUAUUGGGUUUAAAGGGAGCGUAGAUGGGUUGUUAAGUCAGUUGUGAAAGUUUGCGGCUCAACCGUAAAAUUGCAAUUGAUACUGGCAGCCUUGAGUACAGGUGAGGUAGGCGGAAUUCGUGGUGUAGCGGUGAAAUGCUUAGAUAUCACGAAGAACUCCGAUUGCGAAGGCAGCUUACUAAACUGCCACUGACAUUGAUGCUCGAAAGUGUGGGUAUCAAACAGGAUUAGAUACCCCGGUAGUC
rnacentral:rRNA from 1 species